rnacentral:rRNA from 1 species
GCCUUUGCCGCCCGGUCCGCCUAUUUGGGUGUGUACUGGAGCGGUGGAGGCUUACCUCGUGGUGAGCUGUCAUGCCCUUCACUGGGUGUGGCAGGGAACCAUGACUUUUACUUUGAAAAAAUUAGAGUGUUCAAAGCAGGCUUACGCUUGAAUACAUUAGCAUGGAAUAAUAGAAUAGGA